rnacentral:rRNA from 1 species
CGAAGGGGGCUAGCGUUGUUCGGAAUUACUGGGCGUAAAGCGCGCGCAGGCGGUCUUCCAAGUCAGUGGUGAAAGCCCGGAGCUCAACUCCGGAACUGCCAUUGAAACUGUUGGACUUGAGGAUGAGAGAGGUGAGUGGAAUUCCCAGUGUAGAGGUGAAAUUCGUAGAUAUUGGGAAGAACACCGGUGGCGAAGGCGGCUCACUGGCUCAUUACUGACGCUCAGGCGCGACAGCGUGGGGAUCAAACAGGAUUAGAUACCCUGGUAGUCCACGCCGUAAACGAUGAAUGCUAGCCGUUGGGCAGCUUGCUGUUCAGUGGCGCAGCUAACGCAUUAAGCAUCCCGCCUGGGGAGUACGGCCGCAAGGUUG